AAGUUUCUGUGGUGAUCUUAAUAUAGGGGUUUUCAUGAAAUUGACAAGACUCUGUUGCAUCCUGUGAUCCAAGCUUUGCAACCUAUAGCAAACAUAACGGUUGAAAGCCAGGUUUUAUACUACACGCCAAAGUCUUCUUUUUCGUACUGGGAUGAUAUACACGGAAGCCACAUAUUCAGUACCAAGGAUCUUCCUUUCUUUCUUAAUUCAAAUGAGUGGCAUCUAGAUACUUCAGUUGCAGCGGGAGGGAGAUCUAAAGUAUUGCAACUUGUGGUGUAUACUCUUCAGCUCAAUCCUAG